ensembl:misc_RNA Metazoa_SRP Metazoan signal recognition particle RNA
UUUUGAUUUCUUGAAAUCAGUGAGGGAGCUUCAGGAAAAUGGUUACUGAUCAGCCUUCAACACUGCGGCUGGAGGUUUCUUACGUGACCCCCCUAAUGACGUCAGGACAGGUGUCCGCACUAAGUUCGGUAUUGAUAUGGUGCUCCUGGGGGACCCCGGGGCCACCAGGUCGUCUAAGGAGGGGUGCACCGGCCCAGGUCGGUAACGGAGCAGGUCAAAGUCCCCGUGCUGCUCAGUAGUGGGAUCGCGCCUGUGAAUAGACGCUGUAGUGCAGCCUGAGUCUUGUUACACUCUU